GCCUGGGUGGCUCAGUGGUUGAGCAUCUGCUUUCUGCUCCAGGCAAGAUGCUGGAGUCCCAGGAUCGAGUCCUGCAUCAGGCU
rnacentral:tRNA from 1 species